ensembl:lncRNA
ACCCACUCAACUAUUUUCUGCACUUGUUCUUCCAUUUUGUAUCUCUUUGCUGGUCUUGCGCACUCAGAAUAAUGGACCCUGUCAUUUUCUGUGGUGGCCUCGUUGUCAUUGUAAUUAACCGGGAGCUAAAAGAUAACAAGUAGUUGUUAGUAUAAUCUUCUUUGUUGCAGAUUUGGCUGCAAAACUGUCUUCUAACAGUUCAGAAAAGAAUACAUUUAGCUUAAAACAAAAAGCAAUUACACAUAAAAUUCACAAUUACCUCUUUAUUUUUUGUACCCAACUUCUUAAAGCAGCGAUGAUGUGUAGUUUUCUUCAUUACUUCAUCACUUCAGCGCCAAAUUUCAGCUGAAAGUCAGGUGACAGAAAUUAUAGUAAUAAUUAUACAUCAGUACUUGAUCAUUCUUGUUUUUAUUUUAUUUAUUUAUUUUAUUUUAUUUUUGUAGCAGUGCAUUCUGUUUGACCAAAUCAGAAACAAGCUUUUCAAAUUGACUUUACAGGUAAUUGUUCAAUCACAGACUGUCAAAUUACAGGUUGAGCGGGCAACCGAUAUAACAUUUCAACAGAAAUCAUGUCGUUUCCUAACUAUGCUUUGUUUUAUUUCCCUGACUCGGACAUGGUGAAGGUGGACAGCACCGAUAUACUUUUAAGAGAACACAGACGAGCAGAGUACCAGGUCAACUCCCGCGAACAACUUAGAAGUGAAGAGGGGUACGUAGAGGUGCGCCUGACAAGUCGCAGCCAACAUGGACAGACCAAGAUACUGCCAGCAAAAAUACUACUUCUUAGUGACGCUUACAAAGAUUAAUUGUAAAGAGAGAUGCUUUUAAGAGAGGAGAAGACAUCUGGAAGGCCACUGAACUGCAAGGGGAAAAAAACAUCUAUAGCUGUAAAGGUUUUUGAUUUUCUUAAUCUUUUUCUAUUAAAGGUGCUGUAUGUAAGAUGUUGACUCUACUAAAGCAUAAAAAUAUCCUAAUAUGUUUGCAGAUAUUUAAGAAACAUGCUAAGUUAACAUACUUGUUUAUCUGAAAUACAAUGCUACAGUCAGUUAUUCUCCUUUGAAAAUGUGCGUCCAGGGCCGGAAUGUCUGUCUUUGUUUUGGUUUGUGAAACCCGCCCACUGCCAGUUUACCCAAUUGUAUUUCGGCACCCGGGUUGCCAGUUGGUGGAAAACACAGCAUAUUUCAUUUCAUUCAUCGUCAAGUGCGCUCGUUCCUGUUUGUGUCGGCAAUCUGGCAACCUGCGUGAGGAGGAGGGGCAGGGUGAAAAAACCCUCUCCAAUAUUUAGAAUUUGGACUGCAAUACCUAGUUCAACCACUCGGUGUCAAUCCUACAUACGGCACCUGUAAGGGUUUUUUUGUUUGGUUUUUUUUUUAAGUGUUAAUUUUAAUGUGUUGCUUUUAGAGUGCAAGUACAACUCAAAGUGCAGCUGAUGUUGCGAUGGGAGACAAACUCAAAAGAGACCUCCAGAACUUACAAAGGAAAAAAGCAGCACCUGUAACCUCUACUCCAGUGUCAGACGAUUCAGAUAACACUGACAUUGAUCCGUUUGAAAAUACAGAGCAGAGACCAUAAAGGAAAAGGAAGCAGCAUUUUAAUUUCAUAUAAAAUAAUUUUAACAGUUUUUUUGUUUGUUUGUUUUUUCAAAUCUGACUAAUGGAGCAAGGUUAGCCACCACUUGUUUUUAGAAGGAGAUUCAUAAAGCAUGCUCUCUUUCAGGUGUCCAAUUGGUUCCUUCAGUAAGAUUGAAAAGAAAUGUUUAAAUAUGUAAAAAUAUAUUUUAAGCCUCUUCUAACCUUGUGCCAAAUG